rnacentral:rRNA from 1 species
UACGGAAGGCAGCAGUGGGGAAUAUUGCACAAUGGGCGCAAGCCUGAUGCAGCCAUGCCGCGUGUAUGAAGAAGGCCUUCGGGUUGUAAAGUACUUUCAGUCGUGAGGAAGGUGUUAAGGUUAAUAACCUUAGCAAUUGACGUUAGCGACAGAAGAAGCACCGGCUAACUCCGUGCCAGCAGCCGCGGUAAUACGGAGGGUGCGAGCGUUAAUCGGAAUUACUGGGCUAAAGGGCACGCAGGCGGUUAAUAAGUUGGAUGUGAAAUCCCCGGGCUUAACCUGGGAAUGGCAUUCAAGACUGGUUAGCUAGAGUCUUGUAGAGGGGGUAGAAUUCCAUGUGUAGCGGUGAAAUGCGUAGAGAUGUGGAGGAAUACCGGUGGCGAAGGCGGCCCCUGGGACAAAGACUGACGCUCAUGUGCGAAAGCGUGGGGAGCAAACAGGGAUUAGAUACC